GAUGAACGCUGGCGGCGUGCUUAACACAUGCAAGUCGAACGAAGCACUUUAUUUGAUUUCCUUCGGGACUGAUUAUUUUGUGACUGAGUGGCGGACGGGUGAGUAACGCGUGGGUAACCUGCCUUGUACAGGGGGAUAACAGUUGGAAACGGCUGCUAAUACCGCAUAAGCGCACGGCAUCGCAUGAUGCAGUGUGAAAAACUCCGGUGGUAUAAGAUGGACCCGCGUUGGAUUAGAUAGUUGGUGAGGUAACGGCCCGCCAAGGCGACGAUCCAUAGCCGACCUGAGAGGGUGACCGGCCACAUUGGGACUGAGACACGGCCCAAACUCCUACGGGAGGCAGCAGUGGGGAAUACUGCACAAUGGGCGAAAGCCUGAUGCAGCGACGCCGCGUGAGCGAAGAAGUAUUUCGGUAUGUAAAGCUCUAUCAGCAGGGAAGAUAAUGACGGUACCUGACUAAGAAGCACCGGCUAAAUACGUGCCAGCCGCCGCGGUAA
rnacentral:rRNA from 1 species